GGCCCAAAUUCGAAGUGGAGUAGUUUGGUAGGAUUGGCUAACCCCACUUAAAUACUGUACUUCAAGUUUGGGCCC
rnacentral:pre_miRNA from 1 species